rnacentral:rRNA from 1 species
AGAGUUUGAUCAUGGCUCAGAUUGAACGCUGGCGGCAGGCCUAACACAUGCAAGUCGAACGGUAACAGGAAGAAGCUUGCUUCUUUGCUGACGAGUGGCGGACGGGUGAGUAAUGUCUGGGAAACUGCCUGAUGGAGGGGGAUAACUACUGGAAACGGUAGCUAAUACCGCAUAACGUCGCAAGACCAAAGAGGGGGACCUUCGGGCCUCUUGCCAUCGGAUGUGCCCAGAUGGGAUUAGCUAGUAGGUGGGGUAACGGCUCACCUAGGCGACGAUCCCUAGCUGGUCUGAGAGGAUGACCAGCCACACUGGAACUGAGACACGGUCCAGACUCCUACGGGAGGCAGCAGUGGGGAAUAUUGCACAAUGGGCGCAAGCCUGAUGCAGCCAUGCCGCGUGUAUGAAGAAGGCCUUCGGGUUGUAAAGUACUUUCAGCGGGGAGGAAGGGAGUAAAGUUAAUACCUUUGCUCAUUGACGUUACCCGCAGAAGAAGCACCGGCUAACUCCGUGCCAGCAGCCGCGGUAAUACGGAGGGUGCAGGCGUUAAUCGGAAUUACUGGGCGUAAAGCGCACGCAGGCGGUUUGUUAAGUCAGAUGUGAAAUCCCCGGGCUCAACCUGGGAACUGCAUCUGAUACUGGCAAGCUUGAGUCUCGUAGAGGGGGGUAGAAUUCCAGGUGUAGCGGUGAAAUGCGUAGAGAUCUGGAGGAAUACCGGUGGCGAAGGCGGCCCCCUGGACGAAGACUGACGCUCAGGUGCGAAAGCGUGGGGAGCAAACAGGAUUAGAUACCCUGGUAGUCCACGCCGUAAACGAUGUCGACUUGGAGGUUGUGCCCUUGAGGCGUGGCUUCCGGAGCUAACGCGUUAAGUCGACCGCCUGGGGAGUACGGCCGCAAGGUUAAAACUCAAAUGAAUUGACGGGGGCCCGCACAAGCGGUGGAGCAUGUGGUUUAAUUCGAUGCAACGCGAAGAACCUUACCUGGUCUUGACAUCCACGGAAGUUUUCAGAGAUGAGAAUGUGCCUUCGGGAACCGUGAGACAGGUGCUGCAUGGCUGUCGUCAGCUCGUGUUGUGAAAUGUUGGGUUAAGUCCCGCAACGAGCGCAACCCUUAUCCUUUGUUGCCAGCGGUCCGGCCGGGAACUCAAAGGAGACUGCCAGUGAUAAACUGGAGGAAGGUGGGGAUGACGUCAAGUCAUCAUGGCCCUUACGACCAGGGCUACACACGUGCUACAAUGGCGCAUACAAAGAGAAGCGACCUCGCGAGAGCAAGCGGACCUCAUAAAGUGCGUCGUAGUCCGGAUUGGAGUCUGCAACUCGACUCCAUGAAGUCGGAAUUGCUAGUAAUCGUGGAUCAGAAUGCCACGGUGAAUACGUUCCCGGGCCUUGUACACACCGCCCGUCACACCAUGGGAGUGGGUUGCAAAAGAAGUAGGUAGCUUAACCUUCGGGAGGGCGCUUACCACUUUGUGAUUCAUGACUGGGGUGAAGUCGUAACAAGGUAACCGUAGGGGACCUGCGGUUG